AUUUAUUAAUUUGAAUUAAAAUUUACACUCAAUACGUUAAUAUUGCAUACUGGUUUACAAUGUACUUCAAUAUUGAAGUGCAGAUAAUUGCCACUAUUUGCAAUAAGUAGUCAAAUUUUAGCAUAGUGUAAAUAGAAUCUAUAGUUAUUUGCACUUAGUGUAAAUAGCAUAUCACUAAAAAUGCUGCUAUUUGCACUUAGUGUAAAUAGCCGCUGCCAUUAGUUUAUUAGUACGUAGUUGAGAAUGUUGAGAAUGAAAAUCGUUGCUUCAUGCUACAAGUUUUCUUUCGGCAGGUUUGAGGCAGUUUAUGCAAAGCUGUGAAAAGAGCGUGCAUUUUGAAUGACAAAUAAUAUGCUUCGCUAUAAAUGCAACACGACACAAUGCGAUUUGGUUCAGUGAGAAGGCUGUGAUACGCUUAUGAGAUCACUGACUAAAAUCAGGACAGAAAUCAUGCUGACUAUUCUUCUGAUUAUGGCAAUGAUUGGCCAAGGUCAAUCAUGGGACAGCCUUGGAACCAGCUUCAUAACAAUAUUCCCAGAGAACAUAGCCUUCUACUAUCCGCUUAGUCCAGUGAACGCUCUCAAUAUCACUGCUGUCCUUCCCGACACUGUGGUGGAAGUCUUUAUCUCAGGGCAGUUGCCUUACACAUACACACUACUAGAAGGACAGCCCCUAACUGUGACCUUCUCAGUGGGUAUUGAGGAAUACCAAUUUGGUGAAAUUUCUCAGACUGUCAGAAUCAGCAGCACAAAGAACAUUGUAGUGCAAUCAAUCAGCAAGAAAGGAGACAGUGUGCAAACUAAUGUCAUUCAGCCUCGGAAAAACCUUGGUACAGUUUAUACCAUCCCCUUGCUGAAUUACAGCCAGAUGAUCAAUACUUUUUAUCAAUCAGCAAGAAAUAUCAGCAAGAGAUACAACUCCUUCAGGCUGGUUAUUAUCAACGGAGAAGAUUUGAUUAAUAAUGUCAAAAUUGUAAAAAGGUCUAUAGAAGAGAUUUACACACUCAGUCCGUUCACCGCUCUCCAGCUUAAAACUGACGGGACAGAAACUAAGAUUUAUUCUGAUUAUGGAGUGGCUGUGAUGCUGACCCAUCCUUGUGUAGAGACGGAUGAAUGCAGAUGCAACAUGGUGCUGAGCCAACUUUAUCCUGACGUUCAGGAGGAUAGCAGAUUUGUUGUACCCUCAAUACCCAACACCAGCAACUUUUGGCUACAUGUGACGUCCUCAGUGGAAACCAGUGCCAGUGGUGGGGAUCUAGAAUCGAGUACUGUGGAUGCCUAUUCCUCAAAACUCCUGUCCCUUCCAUCUCUGUACUUAGGAUCCCAGUUCAUCCACACAUCGAAUCCUGCUUCCCUCAGGCUUGUCAGUCCAGGCAUCAUCAUUGAACCGAUCUCACAAUAUAGGUUCUCUGGGUGCUACCUAGUAACUGUCAGCUCGACAGAUGCCAAGGCCUUAAUCAUUGCAGAAACAUACUACAGGGAUAGUGUGUAUAUAGAUAAUGAUUUGCUUUUAUCCACUGAAUGGAGCACCAUCGCCAAUUCAGUGUACUCAUCGGUGUUAGUGUCUUUUGAUGACACACACGUCAUUUGGCAUCCAUCCACAAAGAUCGGCGUGUACGUGUUUGAGAAGAGCACAAAUGUGUAUGGAGGCCCGGCUAUAUCUUUAAGCGCAAAGCCAGACCCUUCAGGCUGUGCAGUUGUUCCUCCUGAGUUUGACAUCAUCGUCACGCCUCAAACCUGGCCUGAAUCCCAUCAGCACUGUAAGCUCAUAAGUGACGAGUUAUUCAGUCCCAGCAAUGAAGACGCCCAAGCGGAGAUGGCCGACAUUCUGAAUAAUGAAGGUAUGAAUGAGAGGCUCUGGAUUGGCGUGCGUCGCAGUCUGAUGACGUUAGAUUGGUACCGGCAGAAAGGUAAAAGCUCACACAACUUGACAUACACUUGGUGGGGAACCGGAGAGCCAGGUGAUGCUGCAAAGGGCAUGUGUGCUUCGGUAUUCCCAAACCCAAGCAUGGAUUUCCUUUGGGAAACUACAAACUGUUGUACUAAAUUGAAAUCUAUCUGCUACACAAGGGCUCAGUACUUUACCAUCUCAAAAGAGACAGCUAAGCAUUCUAAUGCUUAAAAAAAUGAAGGUUAAUAAUAAAAACUGGCCAGGGAAAACA
ensembl:lncRNA